UACGGAGGAUCCGAGCGUUAUCCGGAUUUAUUGGGUUUAAAGGGUGCGUAGGUGGAUUGGUAAGUCAGUGGUGAAAGUUUGCAGCUUAACUGUAAAAUUGCCGUUGAAACUGCCGGUCUUGAGUGCAAAUGAGGUAGGCGGAAUGCGUCGUGUAGCGGUGAAAUGCUUAGAUAUGACGCAGAACUCCGAUUGCGAAGGCAGCUUACUGGGAUGCAACUGACGCUGAGGCACGAAAGCGUGGGUAUCAAACAGGAUUAGAUACCCGGGUA
rnacentral:rRNA from 1 species